AUUUCCUACAGCAAAGGCCAUGUAGACGUAGAUUGAUGGAUGAUCAACAUGGGAUGUCCUAAAAUUAUUUAUUGGACUUCUAAUUUCAAUUUGACUCAGCUCGUAAUUGGAUCACUGAAGGGAACAAACUCGUUGCUUAUUAGAAGCCUAAAUUGUCCAUUAAUGGAGGAAAAGAUCCCAACUCAGCUAAAGAAGCCCAACCAUCCAUAAAAUAAUUAAACUAGACACCCAAAAC
rnacentral:lncRNA from 1 species